rnacentral:rRNA from 1 species
UACAGAGGUCUCAAGCGUUGUUCGGAUUCAUUGGGCGUAAAGGGUGCGUAGGCGGCGCGGUAAGUCGGGUGUGAAAUCUCGGGGCUUAACUCCGAAACUGCAUUCGAUACUGCCGUGCUUGAGGACUGGAGAGGAGACUGGAAUUUACGGUGUAGCGGUGAAAUGCGUAGAUAUCUGGAGGAACACCGGUGGCGAAGGCGGCAUCCUGGACCAUGACUGACGCUGAGGAGCGAAAGCCAGGGGAGCAAACGGG